AUUGAACGCUGGCGGCAUGCUUUACACAUGCAAGUCGAACGGUAACAGGUUAAGCUGACGAGUGGCGAACGGGUGAGUAAUGCAUCGGAACGUGCCCGAUCGUGGGGGAUAACGCAGCGAAAGCUGCGCUAAUACCGCAUACGAUCUAAGGAUGAAAGCGGGGGACCGUAAGGCCUCGCGCGAUCGGAGCGGCCGAUGUCAGAUUAGGUAGUUGGUGGGGUAAAGGCCCACCAAGCCGACGAUCUGUAGCUGGUCUGAGAGGACGACCAGCCACACUGGGACUGAGACACGGCCCAGAUUCCUACGGGAGGCAGCAGUGGGGAAUUUUGGACAAUGGGCGAAAGCCUGAUCCAGCAAUGCCGCGUGCAGGAAGAAGGCCUUCGGGUUGUAAACUGCUUUUGUACGGAGCGAAAAGGUCCUUUCUAAUACAAGGGGCUCAUGACGGUACCGUAAGAAUAAGCACCGGCUAACUACGUGCCAGCAGCCGCCGCAG
rnacentral:rRNA from 1 species